UGCCAUUGAGAAGGAAUUGCUGGAGAGA
rnacentral:piRNA from 1 species